rnacentral:rRNA from 1 species
AUACGGAGGAUCCGAGCGUUAUCCGGAUUUAUUGGGUUUAAAGGGUGCGCAGGCGGCCAUUUAAGUCAGCGGUUAAAUCGUGGGGCUCAACCCCAUUCUGCCGUUGAUACUGGGUGGCUUGAUUGCGGUCGAGGUUGGCGGAAUUCGUUGUGUAGCGGUGAAAUGCAUAGAUAUGACGAAGAACACCGAUUGCGUAGGCAGCUGACCAGACCGCAAAUGACGCGCAUGCACGAAAGUGCGGGGAUCGAACAGGAUUAGAUACCCUGGUAGUCCGCACAGUAAACGAUGAAUACUUGUUUUCGGCGAUAUAAUGUCGGAGGCAAAGCGAAAGCGAUAAGUAUUCCACCUGGGGGGUACGCCGGCAACGGUGAAACUCAAAGGAAUUGACGGGG